UUGUCUAGAGAGAAAAGUCACUCAGCUGUGUCCAACUCUUCUGAGGUCCCAUGAACUGCAGCCCGCCAGGCUCCUCUGUCCAUGGAAUUCUCCAGGCUCUCUACAGGUUCAAGAGAACCACUGAAUACGUGCAAGCGAAAACUCCAAGAAAGAUCUGGAGACCUCAGAGCAAGACUGGAGCCCGCAAAUGCAAUACUGGGGCCAGGGCAAAGCAAAGGAAGUGGGCCCCUGCACCGGAGGAGGCUGCAGUCUCCAGCGAGCAGCCAGCACCGAACGAGGAGGAGCAGUUAAGAGGAAACGGCGUGGGGGUCCACGGUGCCCGAAAGUUUGUUUGGUGGCCGAGAGUCCAGCCCUCUUCGCCCCCGAGACCCGCGCAACCGCGCGCGGAGGUUUCACUCCCCAAGGUGGGCAGUGAGUGACUCGGUCCGGAGGAGCGUGCGCCCCGAGCCG
ensembl:lncRNA